rnacentral:rRNA from 1 species
AUUGAACGCUGGCGGCAGGCCUAACACAUGCAAGUCGAGAGAGCGGCGGACGGGUGAGUACUGGAUGGGGACUGCCCGAUAGAGGGGGAUAACUACUGGAAACGGUGGAUAAUACAGCAUACGGUCGGAUAACCCAUAUGGGAUUAGCUAGUAGGUCAGUUAAUGGCUUACCUAGGAGACGAUCCCUAGCUGGUCUGAGAGGAUGAUCAGCCACACUGGGACUGAGACACGGCCCAGACUCCUACGGAGGCAGCAGUGGGGAAUAUUGCACAAUGGGCGCAAGCCUGAUGCAGCCAUGCCGCGUGUAUGAAGAAGGCCCUAGGGUUGUAAAGUACUUUCAGUCGGGAGGCGUUACCGACAGAAGAAGCACCGGCUAACUCCGUGCCAGCAGCCGCGGUAAUAC